UAAUUGAAAACGUGUCAACAAGCCAACAACUUCCGCUAGCACACGCAGUCUACGUGCUGCGAAGUCGGCUGUAAAAAUUACUUUUUGGCCCAAAAACUGGCUUACAAUGAAGUCUGUACAGGUGGAUUUUAAUCGAAGGCUGAGUCUUUGGAAACGUGUAACCUGUCAAAAUGAAAAUCGCACUUUAUGCAUUGCAUUUCAUGAUUUUUUUCAAGGCCAAAGGAUCUGCUCAACUCGAGUGAAUUGCGUAAAUACUUAUUAAUCCAUAGCAAUGAAUUGAUCAAACAAAGCUCUCUUGAACGGAUGCAACUGAAAGAUUUUAGGACUGACCCUCAUUCUGAAACUCGUUUUUAAAGUUGUUAAAAUUUAUGUAUUUAAUAAAUAUUGCGAUAAUCAUUGAUGUAUAAAUAGCCCCUGUACAGCCGUGUUUCCCGGUAACAACUUCUUAUCUGGCAAUUCAAGCGAGUAAAAAAUGAAUCAGCCAGAGCAUUAUUUUAAGUACAAAGACCCGUAAAAAGGCGUGAAAUCGCUAUUUGCACAAAUAAAGACGACGUCACAAGUUUGGUGAUACUUCCCUGCCUCAAAGGGGUCCGUCGGAUUUGUCUUCAAUUGCCGAGGUCGUGUUAAUCACAAUGUAAAUUGUAUCAAAUGCCGCAGACUUGAGGUCUUUUCGUGAGUAGUGUGUAGAUAUA